UUUUUUUUUAAAACGAAUUUCACAUAGCCAACUCCGUUUCACCAUGCAAAUUAAAACAAGAACUUACAUUAACAAAACUAUGAAUAGAAAUAUCAGUACAAUUACUAGGAUGUUAUCACCGGAUAUAGUAAUUUACUCUCACUCAAGACAUUUAAAUUCGGUUAGUUGUACCUCUUGACACAAAUUUGCUUUAACAGGAAUCCAGGCAAGAAUUCCUCAGUUCAUAACAAAAUGGUACCUUGAAUCCACAUAGCUCUCAACAUCCCAGAGGAACGAACCAAAAGUCACAGCCUCCAAAACAAGCCUCUUCAAACCACCAAAGCUGAUCUUUCAUCCUUGGAAGAGUCAAUGGUCCCUUGAGGAGUUAUCACAAUUUCUGGUCUUCCAAACAAGGCCUC
rnacentral:misc_RNA from 1 species